UAACACAUGCAAGUCGAGCGGNUGAAAGGAGCUUGCUCCUGGAUUCAGCGGCGGACGGGUGAGUAAUGCCUAGGAAUCUGCCUGGUAUAGGGGGACAACGUUUCGAAAGGAACGCUAAUACCGCAUACGUCCUACGGGAGAAAGCAGGGGACCUUCGGGCCUUGCGCUAUCAGAUGAGCCUAGGUCGGAUUAGCUAGUUGGUGAGGUAAUGGCUCACCAAGGCGACGAUCCGUAACUGGUCUGAGAGGAUGAUCAGUCACACUGGAACUGAGACACGGUCCAGACUCCUACGGGAGGCAGCAGUGGGGAAUAUUGGACAAUGGGCGAAAGCCUGAUCCAGCCAUGCCGCGUGUGUGAAGAAGGUCUUCGGAUUGUAAAGCACUUUAAGUUGGGAGGAAGGGCAGUAAAUUAAUACUUUGCUGUUUUGACGUUACCGACAGAAUAAGCACCGGCUAACUCUGUGCCAGCAGCCGCGGUAAUACAGAGGGUGCAAGCGUUAAUCGGAAUUACUGGGCGUAAAGCGCGCGUAGGUGGUUUGUUAAGUUGGAUGUGAAAUNCNCUGGGCUCAACCUGGGAACUGCAUUCAAAACUGACAAGCUAGAGUAUGGUAGAGGGUGGGUGGGAAUUUUCCUGUGUAGCGGUGAAAUGCGUAGAUAUAGGAAGGAACNNCNANUGGCGAAGGCGACNNNCUGGACUGAUACUGANNCUGAGGUGCGAAAGCGUGGGGAGCAAACAGGAUUAGAUACCNCUGGUAGUNNNCNNCGUAAACGAUGUCAACUANNNGUUGGGAGCNUUGAGCUCUUAGUGNGCAGCUAACGCAUUAAGUUGAC
rnacentral:rRNA from 1 species